ACACUAACUGCACUCUCACUGUGUUAAUACCACACACUAACUGCACUCUCACUUAAAAGUUCAUCACAUUUAAUUCUGAUCAUCUGCUUUAAAUAAAGUGAUCGUUUCACACGUGAACAGAAGAGGGAUUUGGCUAAAUGAGUGUGGAUGACAUCACACAACACAUCUGGAUGACAUCACAAGACACGUCUGGAUGACAUCACACGACUCGUCUGGAUGACAUCACUCGACACAUCUGGAUGACAUCACACUACACGUCUGGAUGACAUCACACGACACGUCUGGAUGACAUCACAUGACACGUCUGGAUGACAUCACUCGACACAUCUGGAUGACAUCACACAGCGUGUUUCCAGUGUGAGGAGAAGAACAGGAAGUGUUUCCACAGUAACAGUAACAGUAAAAGGCUAAUGGAAGUGGAAACAGAAAUGAAACAUGACAUGAGGGGUUUUUUAAACCCCUGGUAAAGGCAGAGCUUUAGUGUAAAUAGAUUCAGCCAAUUCCAGAAGCUCCACGUUUCCCAAAGGAGAACAAAUCUGAGCUUUACAGAAACAAUCGAUGGAGAGUGAACGUUUUGUCAAUUUUCACUCAUCCGAGUUUGUUAAGCUGUUUUGCUCAUGGAGUCGAUCUCAAUGACGUUACCGCUGCAUACUACUGUAUCAUCAUCUUCAUCAUCAUCAUCAUCAUCAUCAUCAUCAUCAUCAUCACCACCAUCAUCACCGUCGUCGUCGUUUCAGCAAUACAGAUGCACCAUGACACAGUGUUCAUUCAGCAAGAGAUUACUAACACAAACGGGUUUUGUGUAACACACACACAGUCACACACUCACGGAGAGCUGUUGAGUUCGAGAGGACACACUCGGUGUGAGGACGCUGACGUGCAGGUGGAUCACGGCCACGAGUCACGACCUAAACACCAAUGUGCCUGGUGUCACACAAUUACUGACUGAACGACACACCAGGAGGAAGCCUUACUGAGGACGCCGCACGCCGAGGAUGCUGCACAUGGAGGAGGUUGCACUGAGGACGCGUCACACUGAGGACGCCACGCAGAGGACGAUACACUGAGGACGACACACAGAGGACGAUGCACAAUAAGGACGAUGCACUGAGGUCCACACACACGGAGGAUGCCACACUAAGAACCACACACUGAUGAUGAUGCACUGAGAACCACACACUAAGGACUACGCACACGGAGGACUACGCACACGGAGGACUACGCACACGGAGGACUACGCACACGGAGGACUACGCACACGGAGGACUAUGCACACGGAGGACUACGCACACGGAGGACGAAUCACAUGGAGGACGCCACCCCAAGGACCACGCACACUAAAGACGCCACAAUGAGGACGACGCACUGAGAACUACGCAACGAGGCCCAUGCGCACGAACUACUGUACACACACGGAGGACGACGCAGUGCAGGAGGGAACCAGUGACAUACAGAAGGAGUCGUAACACACACCACAAGCUCCUUAAGAAGGACCUCAGCGAUUACAGGAACCCUGUCUAGGAGGUUCCACGUCAUCCGGUGUAACUUUAAAUGGCUUAAAAAUAAACUGUGAUCUUUAGUCACUUUAUAAAGUGGUUUAUUGUUUGAAGAUCGGUGUUCUUAUUAAAGGUUAUUUUAGGACACACACACACACACACACACAC